UACGUAGGGUCCGAGCGUUGUCCGGAAUUAUUGGGCGUAAAGGGCUCGUAGGCGGUUUGUCGCGUCGGGAGUGAAAACCUACAGCUUAACUGUGGGCUUGCUUUCGAUACGGGCAGACUUGAGGCAUGCAGGGGAGAACGGAAUUCCUGGUGUAGCGGUGAAAUGCGCAGAUAUCAGGAAGAACACCUAUGGCGAAGGCAGCUCUCUGGGACGGUACUGACGCUGAGGCGCGAAAGCGUGGGGAGCGAACAGG
rnacentral:rRNA from 1 species